GCAACAUCCCGUUCAAACAUCAGUUCCUGUACGAUCGAUGAAGUUAAGCAACUUUAAGUCUGGUCAGUACUUAGAUGAGUGACCGCUUUGGAAUAGUAGGUGCUGUAAG